CAUUAUCUUUUGGAUUUGUUUUCUUUUUCUAGCAAUAACAGAGAAAAUAAAGAUAAUGUUUUCUUUUUCUAGCAAUAACAGAGGAAAGAAAUAUUUCAAGCAUUAGAUUGUAAACUUUUGUGAAUUCUAUGCAGAAAAAAUAUCGGACGGUAGCAAUGGAGACAUAGCUCUGGACUUUAUCAUCGUUACAAGGUACUAAUUAUUGAUUUGGUUAAAAGGAAAUAAGAUGAAGAAAUACUUUAUCUUAAUAAAACAAUAAAAACAAAAACUAGUAGUAGUAUACAAAUAUUACUGCCCAUCGUAUGCAGGAGGACGUCAAACUAGCAAAAUCCGAAGGACUGGACGCUUUCAGGUUUUCUAUCGCAUGGGCAAGAAUUUUACCUCAGGGCAAGCUAAGUAAAGGAGUAAAUCAAGUUGGUAUUGACUACUACAACAAUCUCAUCAAUGAGAUAAUAGCCCGUGGUAAUACUUUAGAGUCCGGAGCCAAAAUGGGUUAUUUUUGCAGCCAUUAGCCCAAAAUAGGAUGAUUACCUAGAUUUUGUGGAGAUUUGUUUCAAAUAUUUUGGAGAGAGAGUGAAGCUCUGGACAACCAUGAAUGAGCCAUGGAUAUUUGCAUCAAAUGGUUAUGAUGCCGGUUCGAUGACGCCUGGCCGGUGUUCUGCCUGGAGGAACAAUAACUGCUCCGCCGGAAACUCUGCAACUGAGCCUUAUAUAGUCGGGCACAAUAUGCUUCUUGCUCAUGGAGCUGCUGCCAAACUAUACAGACAAAAAUACAAGGUGUGGUUGCAGAAAAUGCAUGAUUUGCAUGCUGAAAAUUUUCCAGAAAACCGACUCUGUCCGUCGAUUUUUUGGAAAUUAAUUUUGCAGAUUUUCCAGAAAACCGACUCUGUCCGUCGGUUUUCUGGAAAUUAAUUUUGCAAAUUUUCCAGAAACCUGUUACACCUCGGAAAUUUUUCCGUACUUGUGUGAUGAGUAGAACAAUGAAGGACUUGAGUGUAUGGUGUUUUACUAAGUCGAGAAUGGCUAAUUUUGCAUUUUUGGAAAUAAUAAAGUUGCAGAAAAUUUUUCACCCAGUGGUCGUAUAUGACACUAUACGGCCCGUAAAGUGAUUUACGGACCGUAUAGUGCAAUCGUCUUUCAUUGCGUCAAAAAUCUCAAGUUUCUGUUAAGUGUUGAAAUGGUUAAAGACGACCCAGAAUACGGCCCGUAAACCAGGUCGUAAACCACCAGGUCCCUCAGCCAAGACUUUCUCUAAAUGUUGAAUAUGGUUAAAUACGAUCCAGUUUACGGCCCGUAAACUGGUUUACGGACCGUAAACCAGGUCGUAAACUGCCAUGUCCACCAGCCAAACUCUCUGUUUUUGGAAUGCUUAAAUACGACCACAGUGGACGACCCGUAAAUCAAAAUAUGGUCCGUAAAUUGCAGUUUACGACCACUGUUCACCCGACGAGAAUUCAUUAAACAUCAGCUUUUGAGUUAUUAAAAGGGACUUAGGCCUCAUUUUAUUUCAUUCUUCAUUUAUACAACUCAAGAACACUCUAGAACUCUCCAAUUACUUCCUCCAUAAGAAUCCAAGAGAAUCAAGGGAAAGCUAAAGAUCAACAACACAAAACCUAUGAAAUCAAGUGCAAGAACACAUCAACGGAUCAUCUAAGUCAAGUAAUUCCCAAGAAGGUGAACUAGGGUUUUGUUUAAGUGAAGAAUUUCAACUCAAGGGUUGUUCAACCACUAUCCAAGGUAAGUUUCAUGAUCAUUCUAUGUUGUUUGAAGUAUUGAAAAGCUUAGACACCUGAAAUGUAGAAGAACAUAGAAAUGGACCAUUACUGGGUGAAUAGUGCCAUAAAUGAAUGAUAGUGGGAUUGAAUUAUGAAUGUUGAAGUGUUGUGAAUACAAAUACGUUGUAAAUGAUGCUUAUAUCAUGAAACAAGCAUUAAACGCAUGAAAAUGCAAGGACGAGUCAUAAGGCUAAUUAUGAGGGAAAUUGGAGGAAAAUGGUGGAUUUUGCUAAAUGUACGUAAACGACGAUUGUUGAUUUCGGUAUUGUGAGUAAUGCUAUGAAUGUUGGGAGUUAAUAUAAAACAUGGAAAAAAAAUAGUAUAAACAAGAGAAGCGCUGUCCGACUUCUCCUAGAAUUAGCGACGCGUUCUUGUAGUUAGUAUGCUAAUGUUGAUAUGAAUUCUUUAUGAAGGUAACGACGCGAUAUUGAAGGAGAACGAGUGAGCGAUAUCUUAGCUAAACGACCAAGGUACGUGAGGCUAGUCCCUUCUUCCUGAUGGCACGAAUCUUGUAGCACGAAAUUCCUAUUCUCUUCAUGAGUUCUUAUAGUCCGAAAGGCUAAGAGUCUAACUCCUUAAUGUCUAUAUAAGAUGAGGAGUACGAUAUGAUGUUGCUAGUAUAAUGAUGAUGUUAAUUAUCGCUUACACUCACCUUAUGUACUAGUUCCUUCAAGGUGAGGCAGAGUAUCAAUAGUUGUUCCAUAAUGGAAUCGGGGGAUCACGACCUUACGUCACCCCGAUAGAAUAAAGUUGAUCUUGAUCCUUAUGCAUGUAUUACAAUGAGAUAAGUAUUUUAUGAGGAGUAUAUUAUUAUUAUGAUCAUUUUAUGAUAAGCAUGACAUGAGCAUUUCACACCGUGCCUAGUUGGCCGGGCAGUCACCGCCAAGGCGGGCAGCUAUACGGAUACACCAUGACCUUCGGGCAUGGGCAGACACCACUAGUGGGCGGCAUGAGAUGGUACCCCGGACGCGGGAGGCCUGGAAGCGGGCUAAUAUUAUUGAUUAUCACACCGUUCUGACAUGGACGGGCAGCUUGCAUAUGAUGCAUAUAUGUUAUGAGGAUGAGUAUGAGUAAGAUGGCACGCAGGAUUUCCUUUAUGAUUAUCAGACAGAUCCAGAUAUUUCACGUUGAUGUUAUCACUAUGUUGUUGAUGUUUUCUUUCAUUGUUUAUGCUUCUCAUACUCAGUACAACAUUCGUACUGACGUCCUUUCUUCGGACGCUGUGUUCAUGCCCACAGGUAGACAGAGAGGAGAGCUUGGCCCAGAUCCUCAGUAGCAGUCAGCUGGUUGAAAGCACUACAUUGUCUGGAGGUGCUUAGGAUUAUCCUUUUGGUAUAUAUGUAUAUUUUGGGCACGACGGAGUCUUGUUCCGUCCAUGUAUAUACAGUAUGUUAGUAGAGGCUCGUAGAUACGCAGUGUGGGUUAGAUGGUCUCACAAGACGUUUUCAUAUGCAUGUAUAUUAUUUUGAUGGACGAAAGGCAAUUGUAUAUAAAGUAUUUAUGUUUGUUUAA